rnacentral:lncRNA from 1 species
UGGCGCGGAAGCUUCAGGUGGACAGUGAUCGUGGAACUUGCAGGGAAACUGAGGCUCAGGGUGGAGCUCCGGGUCCUGGGAUGCGCUGAGGCCGCCGUUUUCCUCUGCAGUUGCGGAAGAUGUCGGACAGCGAAGACAGCAACUUCUCGGAGGAGGAGGACAGCGAGCGCAGCAGCGAGGCGGAGGAGGCCGAGGUAGAGGAAGACCGGCGAAGUGCCGCAGGCAGUGAAAAAGAAGAGGAGCCCGAGGAAGAGGAGGAGGAGG